rnacentral:rRNA from 1 species
ACGCGAAGAACCUUACCCACCUUUGACAUGUACGGAAGUUACCAGAGAUGGUUUCGUGCUCGAAAGAGAACCGUAACACAGGUGCUGCAUGGCUGUCGUCAGCUCGUGUCGUGAGAUGUUGGGUUAAGUCCCGCAACGAGCGCAACCCUUGUCAUUAGUUGCUACGAAAGGGCACUCUAAUGAGACUGCCGGUGACAAACCGGAGGAAGGUGGGGACGACGUCAAGUCCUCAUGGCCCUUAUAGGUGGGGCUACACACGUCAUACAAUGGCUGGUACAGAGGGUUGCCAACCCGCGAGGGGGAGCUAAUCCCAUAAAACCAGUCGUAGUCCGGAUCGCAGUCUGCAACUCGACUGCGUGAAGUCGGAAUCGCUAGUAAUCGCGGAUCAGAAUGUCGCGGUGAAUACGUU